UACGGGGGGAGCAAGCGUUGUUCGGAUUUAUUGGGCGUAAAGGGCUCGUAGGCGGUUUGUCGCGUCGGGAGUGAAAACACGGGGCUUAACUCCGUGCCUGCUUCCGAUACGGGCAGACUAGAGGUAUGCAGGGGAGAACGGAAUUCCUGGUGUAGCGGUGAAAUGCGUAGAUAUCUGGAGGAACACCGGUGGCGAAGGCGGCAUCCUGGACCAAUAUUGACGCUGAGGAGCGAAAGCCAGGGGAGCAAACGGG
rnacentral:rRNA from 1 species